UACGUAGGGUGCGAGCGUUAAUCGGAAUUACUGGGCGUAAAGCGUGCGCAGGCGGUUUUGUAAGCCAGAUGUGAAAGCCCCGGGCUCAACCUGGGAAUGGCAUUUGGGACUGCAAGGCUUGAGUGCGGCAGAGGAGACUGGAAUUCCUGGUGUAGCAGUGAAAUGCGUAGAUAUCAGGAGGAAUACCGAUGGCGAAGGCAGGUCUCUGGGCUGACACUGACGCUCAUGCACGAACGCGUGGGGAGCAAACAGG
rnacentral:rRNA from 1 species